rnacentral:rRNA from 1 species
UACGUAGGGUGCAAGCGUUAAUCGGAAUUACUGGGCGUAAAGGGCGCGUAGGCGGCUCAUGAAGGCUGUGGUGAAAGUCCGGGGCUCAACCUCGGAUCGGCCGUGGCGACUCGUGGGCUGGAGCACUGUAGAGGCGGGUGGAAUUCCGGGUGUAGCGGUGGAAUGCGUAGAGAUCCGGAAGAACACCGGUGGCGAAGGCGGCCUGCUGGGCUAUGGCUGACACUGAGGCGCGACAGCGUGGGGAGCAAACAGG